AUCCCAUGCUGUUCAGAUAUUCUAAAUAAGGUAAUAUCGUGAGAGUCAAAUUCGAGCCUGGUGAGAGGGUUACACUAAUAAUUGGUUUUAUUUUAUGUGUUUCCACAGUCAUUCUUUUGCUAUUUCUCUAAAUGUUUUUAUCUCAACUGUGGGGUCAACAGUUGAUCACUUGAACCCUUUAUUAAUACUUUGUUAAAUACAAAGAACAACAACAGAAAUAGCAGAUCUAUAAGCACACAACUUUGAUGCUUUGCUUGUUAAUAACUAACUUGCUUAUCUUUUAACAUUUUCAUUUUUACUAUAAUUAGUGUACAAUGAAUGUUUUUGAUAUUUGUGUAAUUAUUAUUGUAAUGGAUAUUUUUUGUCAAUGUAGGAACAACGUGAUGUAAAUAUGAGACGUCACUCGUCCUUCGUGCACUUCCUGUGUACCUGCGUGAAGAUGCCUCCAAGUUUUUCAGGACCUGUAAUUCAGCAGAUGGUCCAGACCUCACUGACACUCCGGUGGCUCUCCUGACAGUUGUCACUGAUGAUACUACUGAUGCGGCCCUCUUCAGCCCUGAGAGCAUCUGUAUUGUCGUGGAAGAUGAAAUACUUGUGAGUGGUCCCACAAACCUGGCUGACUCAUUUCUCCUGCCCUUUGGGUAUGUCUAUGCACUAGACCUACAGUACCCAAAGAAUCUCGAGCUUACAUUCACAUUUAUCCAAAAAGUUGUGAUGUGUCUUGAGGACAACAAACCACUGAAAGGCCGUCUACUGACACUGAAGAAUGAUUUGUUCAAUGAGUGAAUCACUCAGAAUGGACUAUUUGUUGAGCUGAGUAUUGAGGAUGUUUUUAGUUUUUUUCCCCUCUUUACAAAUGUAAUAAUUUGCCUCUUCUACCUCAUGUUUAAUAUGUUACACUGUUUGCCUCUUUAAAAAAAGUGAGUUGCAGCCUUCAAGGUACAGUAAGUGCCAAAACGUUUUAAAUGGCUCCACAUUCUAAUAGUUGUCAUUGCUGUUGAGGAUGGAUUAUAAUUAGAAUCUUAUUGAAUUUUAUCAUGAAGCCUUUGUGAGUUUUUAUCAUAAUGUUUACUGAAUAAUGUGAUAUGGAGACCCAAAAUACUGAAUCUACCCUCUGUAGCAAUGACCACUAUCAGAAUAUGGAACUAUUAACACUUAAUGUACUUUAAAACACAUUUUGUUUUUAUGGAGUCAUUUCCUUUUUUGUUUUAAUUUAUGACAAGCACUUUGUUUUGACUGAGCUCCUUUUGAUUCGUGCCUUUUUAAAAGCACAUUGUGUUGAAUAAAAAAAAAAGUUAAAUUGUCA